GAGCUACUCCCUCCGUCCGAAAAUACUUGUCAUCAAAAUGGAUAAAAAGGGAUGUAUCUCAAACUAAAAUACAUCUAGAUACAUCCCUUUUUAUUCAUUUUAAUGACAAGUAUUUCCGGACGGAGGGAAUACUUU
rnacentral:pre_miRNA from 1 species